rnacentral:rRNA from 1 species
GAGGCAGCAGUAGGGAAUCUUCGGCAAUGGACGAAAGUCUGACCGAGCAACGCCGCGUGAGUGAAGAAGGUUUUCGGAUCGUAAAACUCUGUUGUUAGAGAAGAACAAGGGUGAGAGUAACUGUUCACCCCUUGACGGUAUCUAACCAGAAAGCCACGGCUAACUACGUGCCAGCAGCCGCGGUAAUACGUAGGUGGCAAGCGUUGUCCGGAUUUAUUGGGCGUAAAGCGAGCGCAGGCGGUUUCUUAAGUCUGAUGUGAAAGCCCCCGGCUCAACCGGGGAGGGUCAUUGGAAACUGGGAGACUUGAGUGCAGAAGAGGAGAGUGGAAUUCCAUGUGUAGCGGUGAAAUGCGUAGAUAUAUGGAGGAACACCAGUGGCGAAGGCGGCUCUCUGGUCUGUAACUGACGCUGAGGCUCGAAAGCGUGGGGAGCAAACAGGAUUAGAUACCC